AACGAACGCUGGCGGCAUGCCUAACACAUGCAAGUCGAACGAGACCUUCGGGUCUAGUGGCGCACGGGGGCGUAACGCGUGGGAACCUGCCCUUAGGUUCGGAAUAACUCCCCGAAAGGGGUGCUAAUACCGGAUAAUGUCUUCGGACCAAAGAUUUAUCGCCUUUGGAUGGGCCCGCGUUGGAUUAGCUAGUUGGUAGGGUAAAAGCCUACCAAGGCGACGAUCCAUAGCUGGUCUGAGAGGAUGAUCAGCCACACUGGGACUGAGACACGGCCCAGACUCCUACGGGAAGCAGCAGUGGGGAAUAUUGGACAAUGGGCGAAAGCCUGAUCAAGCAAUGCCGCGUGAGUGAUGAAGGCCUUAGGGUUGUAAAGCUCUUUUACCCGGGAUGAUAAUGACAGUACCGGGAGAAUAAGCUCCGGCUAACUCCGUG
rnacentral:rRNA from 1 species